AACGAACGCUGGCGGCAUGCCUAACACAUGCAAGUCGAACGAAGCCUUCGGGCUUAGUGGCGCACGGGUGCGUAACGCGUGGGAAUCUGCCCUUGGGUUCGGAAUAACAGUUAGAAAUGACUGCUAAUACCGGAUGAUGUCCUCGGACCAAAGAUUUAUCGCCCAAGGAUGAGCCCGCGUAGGAUUAGGUAGUUGGUGGGGUAAUGGCCCACCAAGCCGACGAUCCUUAGCUGGUCUGAGAGGAUGAUCAGCCACACUGGGACUGAGACACGGCCCAGACUCCUACGGGAGGCAGCAGUGGGGAAUAUUGGACAAUGGGCGAAAGCCUGAUCCAGCAAUGCCGCGUGAGUGAUGAAGGCCUUAGGGUUGUAAAGCUCUUUUACCAGGGAUGAUAAUGACAGUACCUGGAGAAUAAGCUCCGGCUAACUCCGUGCCAGCAGCCGCAGUAA
rnacentral:rRNA from 1 species